rnacentral:lncRNA from 1 species
GGCAUCGGUUCAAUGGUUCACAGGUUAUAUAAAAAUAAAUAAUAAAAAAUCUAGUUAAAUAAAAAAUAAUUAUUAAAAAUUAUAAAUGGGUAAAAAAAAUUACUAUUUUUAGUACAUAAUAAACAAUAAGUACAAUAAUAAAUUAUAUAAAAAAAAUUACAAAAAUAUAAAAUAUAAAAAUACUCAAGGGCUUCUUUUUCGUUCCAAUUUAAUUUUUAAACUAUUACUUAUUGGUAUUUUGAUCUUUAAAAAAAAAAAAAUAUAAGUUUGUCAAUAAUGUGUAUUAUAAGAUUAAUAAUGUGCAUUAUUUGUGUGAGAUUUAUUUUUUUAUUUUUUUCCUAUACCUCCGAUGUUUUUUUUAUUCUUAUGUUUAAUUUAAUUUACUUUUUUUUACAUUGAAUUAAUUUUUUGAUAAUACGUUAUCUAGAUAUAUUUAAUUUAAUAUAAGAAAUAUCUUAAAUAUGAGGUACUAAAGGUAAGAAAGGAGAGAAACGUGCAUUUUUAGCUAGUCAUUUUUUUCUUCCUUUUUUUUCCCUCUCGUGACUUCAUUUGAAAAUUUAUUUUUGUCAUCAAAAAAUCAUAAAAGACAUGUUUUUAAAAAACAAAUAGUUUUAAAUCGGUUGUGCAUUUGUAUUUCUUAACUUUUUCAAAAACGCCCGCGGUUCAAUAAAUAUCGGCUGGUUCAUUGGUUUUAAAAAAUCAGGGCCGUUCACCGUUCAUCCGGUUCACAUACGAUUCGAUAUUUAAUUGAACCGUACUGAUUCAUGGACGGUUCCCGGUUUAACCGAUGAACCGAAAACGGCGGUUCGAUACCGAUUCUGAUCAACAUGGUGACAAGAAAUGACGGAACCUUUGGGCUUUGACUCAUAAUAGAAGGAGAUAAAAAACUAAUAAAUCCAACGAUUUAGAUUUAAUCUUUCUUCCUUACUUUUUUUUCGAUCUCUACAAAUCUCUCCCCAUAUUCUUGAUCCAAAUAGCAAUUAUAAAAGAAUAAAAUUCUCAAGUAUCAGCUCUGGCCUAGCUAGGGUAAGCACCGCCGCCGGACUAUCACUCUAUAGCAAGCUUAGCCGGGUUUUUGUACUGAAUUAUGCUAUAUAAGGCCACAAAUAUCUUUCAAAAAGGUUAUGCAAUUAUCGUACCCCAAGCCUUCUUAAAAUUCUCUCUCCUCUACAUAUAUUGGUAAAUCCCGUCAUUACUUCGACAGUCGAAAAAAUCGUAGCGGGACAGCUCCAACAAUAUUUUCACACUGUUAGUGUGUUGUAGUUCGGCCUAGUAACCAAGAGCCAUCGACGACCAAAAAUCAACAGUUGAUACACCACCAUAUGUAUUUUCGAUUUUUUCUCUUCCAUUUCUAGCAUCCACAUGCCCUCAACAGCCUUAGAAGUUUGACUCGUAUUUUUUCACGUGUGUAAUUUUUUAGUUGUAACUUAAAACACAAAUUUAUAUUCCUUUAUUUUUAUUUUUUGUGUGGGGUGUGGAACAUUUGAUUCUAUGCUUCAAGUUGUGGAUUGAAAUGAAAAGUAAUACAAAAAAAAAAAGAAAAGAAAAUGAAGAUAAAUUCUUUUAUUAAUAUGACAAGUUAGGAAUCUAAGGGGAAAAAAAGAUACUUAUGUGUCAAGUAAUUUAUUUAUUUAAUUUAAUUUAAUUAUCCAUAAAUGAAAAAUGCUACCCACCGCGUAAAUUUAUCCUCCCUCUCCCUCCCCCACCCCACACACACGAUUUGACUAAUAUUUUUUUUUUUUUACCCCAAUUUCUUUCUCCAAACUACCAUUUUGCCAUUUCAAACUAUUUAUUUUUUCGUUUCGUUUAUACAUUUUUUAUUAUUUUUAUAUCUUUUUACGUUUAUUCUUUUUAUUUUAUUUAAUUACACUUUAUCUUUUAUAUUCUUUUUACUUGUUAUUCUUUUUUUUUCCUUUUAACACACUUUUAUAUUAUUUUUUAUUUUUUUAUUUGUUAUUUUUUUUUUAAUAUCUUUUUUUUCUUUUAUUCCUUUUCACUUUUAUUAUUGUUUUUAAUUGAGUGAAUUGUUCAAAAAAUACGAAAAAAAAUAAACUUUUAAAAUAGGGAAAUAAUUUCUACACUCCAAAAAAUUGAUUCACUACACUCCUAUUUUGGAUUGUAGGACUCAAAAAAGGAGUGUAGAAAUAAAUUUUCUUAAAAUAUAAAUCAGAAGUAAAUAGUAAACUCACAUUAACAUAAGAAUAUAAUAUUUAAUCAAUAUCUCCUCUAAACUCUCCUCGGAGGCGCACAGAUCCUAACAAAAAAUAUUGACACAUUCAUUACACUCUUAAUCCCUUAAACAACAUCGCAACUACCGUGACCAAAUGUCGUAAACAUCCUCAUCCCUACUAAAAUUGACACCAUAUAAACAUUGACAAUGGUCAUUAAUUCACUCCCUAUAUUGUAAGUACUCCCACAACCAUACACAUGUAUAACCUCUUUCCUUUUAAAUGACCCCACAACCAUAUUGUAAUACAUUUUAAAAUUUUUAUAAAUAAUACUUUUCAAAAUCUACAACUAAAAAUACAAAAGAUUACAAAACAUAUAAUAAAAAAAAAUUAGUACCCAAAAGCAAAAAAAAUGAUAGAAGAAAGAAGAGAAAGAAAAAUUUUAAAAAAGAAUGGAAAAUAAUAAAAAAAACUGAAAAAAAAAACUUAAAAAAAAUAAUAAAAAAGAUUUAAAAAAAUAAAAAAAAAACUGAAAAAAAAAAAUAAACAAAAAAACUGAAAAGAAGAGAGAGGGGGGGGGCGUGGGUGGAGGGAUGAGAGAGAGAGAGAAAGGGGGGCAUUUUGGUACUUUCAGAAGGAGACAAGGGGGAGGGGUGGUGUCAGGGGUGAGUGGAUCACCUCUCCACACCGCUCAUGUCAAUUGAGACGUUGGUAUUUCAUAAAAGUGGAAAUGUCUUGUCCCGUAGUGGGUCAAAAAUCUGCCAUUCUUUUCGCCAAACCGUCCACAUAGGGUUCGGUCCCUGAAGUAAUUGUAUGAUGCGUUUGAGAGUAUAUAAAAUAUAUAUUUAUUAUCUUAGAAUUAAAAUAGUACAACAAAAAACAAAAAUAAUGGGGUUUAGUGUUAUGGGGGAGGAUCGGGGUGCCUGUGGGGAGGGUGCCUGAGGGUUGUAGAGAUCCAAAACGCCGUCGUUUUGGGUCAGUUUUACUCAAAACGAUAUCGUUGUUUUAAAAAAAAAAUUUGGCCCAAAACGACGGCGUUUGUGCAAUACAUUUUUGAAUAUAAAACGACGUCGUUUGGACUAAAAGGGACGGAAAACGGCGUCGUUUUUGGCUCCCUUCACGCUCUUGCAGGCGCCAGCACACGAACCCCCCCGCAGCUCCCCAAAUCGUGUAUGAGUACCCUAAAUGGUACUCCACAAAUCUACCCACCAUGAGGUGGAGCAUUGGAUGGGUGGGGUGUGGGGUCCACCCACUUUGUCAACCAAUUCCUCCCCCACCACUCGCUCCACUCAUGGUGGGGGUACAUUUAGGGUGCCAACAUUGGCCCCCCCGGCGACCACCACCCCCAAGCAUUUUUCAAAAAAUAAUAUCGUUUUGCACUCACCUGCAUGCAGUGUAUUCAAAAUGAAACACUUAAACAUUAUUACUUUAGAAGACCCAAAAUCCGGUCCCCCCCACCACCAUGUAGCUCUCAAAACUCGUCUUUUAUACUUUUGUGGUAGAUAUGCAAAGAAAAAUAUUGGCCCCGUUGAUAGACAUUCCAAACCACAACUUAUUUAAGUCGUUUACAUUUUUUUAAAAAAAUUAAUUUUAUAUUUUUUUGUCUUUAUCUUUAUCUUUAUUUAAAGAAAAAAUAAAUUGAUGAUGAGUGAUAAUAGUGAUAAUGUUUGUGCCAGGCAGGACCCACACCACACCCCCGGACGCCGGCCUUUUGCCAUCGUCGUCGGUGUGAAGAUGGUGACGUGUGAUGGAGUUGAAAACUGGUAUUAAAAGACGGCGUCAAUAACAAAAGGCAAAAAUAAAUUAUGAAUAUUUUUUUAUUAUUUCAAUAAAUUCUUGAAUAAAAAAGAUGUUUUUUUAUUAUUUCAAUAAAUUCUCAUAUUAUGCGUGUUUUCUAUAUAUGCAUAACUCGUAUAAUGAUAAUUUAUUAUUUUAAAAAAAUAUAAAAAAAUAAUAUUAUUUAUUCUACACAAUUUUUUUUAUAAAAAUAUAAAUUAAAAUAUAUAGCAAUGAUGUAUGAUAGUGAUAUGUUUAAUUGAAAAACAUAAGGAUAUAAAAUAAAUUUUUAUUUAUAAUACAUUAAAUAUUUAGUUAAAAAAAGAGUAAAAAAUUAUCAUUUAAGACCGUAUAAAGAACUUAAAAUAAUUUUUUUUAAAAUAAAAAAUUAUUUAAAUAAAUAUAGUUUUUAUAAUAAAAUUUAGAAAAAAAAUCAAGUUUGUAUAAAAAUGAUACCUACUAUCAUGAUGGGACCUAGGCUUCAAGGUGACAUUUAUUGCAGCUUUCCAUUUUAUACACUACUAGUAAUUAUACGUGCCUACAACACUACAUAAAAAAAACACCUCUUAGACGUACUCGUUAGAAUUUUAUAAUAUAAAAAAUAAAUAAGAUAUAAAUUUUAAUUAAAAAAUAUAUUAUAUAGAUAUACAAAGAGAUAUAUUGCUAUAAAAUAAAAAAUAAAUUAAAAAAUAUAAUAAGUUUUAAAAAAUUUUGCUAAUUUAAAAGAAAUAUGGGAGAAAGAAAUAGGUGUUUUAAUUUUUUUUAUGUGGGUCCCAUUAAAAAAUGAUUCAAUGGAUAAUUUUUGUCCGUAUUUAGAAUUUAUUUAUUAGGUAAAAACAUAUGUGACUCCCACACCUUUGAAAAAAGUGAUAUUUUUUUUAAAAAAAUAAUCUCAAGUGAAAUCUCAGCCGUUGGAUUAACUCAAAUGAAUUUUAACUGUAGAUAGUAGAAGAUAAUUUUAAAAUUCAAAAUAAAUUAUAUUUUUUUGAUGAUUGGUAAAUUGGUAGGCCUAGUUGGUUUGACGAUGGAUAAGGAGUAGGUCUUGGACUGGACAAG